CGCGGACGUAUUUCUUACAGCUCUGAGCAAAAAUUCAAAAUGAAUCAAAACUUUCAACAACGGAUCUCUUGGUUCUGGCAUCGAUGAAGAACGCAGCGAAAUGCGAUAAGUAAUGUGAAUUGCAGAAUUCAGUGAAUCAUCGAAUCUUUGAACGCAC
rnacentral:rRNA from 1 species